rnacentral:rRNA from 1 species
AGAGUUUGAUCCUGGCUCAGGAUGAACGCUAGCGGGAGGCUUAAUACAUGCAAGUCGAGGGGUAACAUUGGUGCUUGCAUCAGAUGACGACCGGCGCACGGGUGAGUAACGCGUACACAACCUACCUUUAAGAGGGGGAUAGCCUUGGGAAACUGAGAUUAAUACCCCAUGUGAUUGUUGAGACUAUAUUUUGGCAAUUAAAGGAUUCGUCCGUUUAGAGAUGGGUGUGCGUACCAUUAGAUAGUUGGUAAGGUAACGGCUUACCAAGUCGACGAUGGUUAGGGGGCGUGAGAGCGUGACCCCCCACACGGGUACUGAGACACGGACCCGACUCCUACGGGAGGCAGCAGUAAGGAAUAUUGGACAAUGGGCGCAAGCCUGAUCCAGCCAUCCCGCGUGCAGGACGACGGCCCUCUGGGUUGUAAACUGCUUUUGUUAGGGAAGAAACCCCGGAAUUUAUUUUGGGCUGACGGUACCUAAAGAAUAAGCACCGGCUAACUCCGUGCCAGCAGCCGCGGUAAUACGGAGGGUGCAAGCGUUAUCCGGAAUCACUGGGUUUAAAGGGUGCGUAGGCGGCGUUAUAAGUCAGAGGUGAAAGGCCACCGCUUAACGGUGGGACUGCCUUUGAUACUGUAGUGCUUGAAUAAGGUUGAGGUUAGCGGAAUGUGACAUGUAGCGGUGAAAUG